GGACCUGACUGCUAUCGGAUUGAUACUAAGCCAUGCGAGUCAUUGUAGUAAUACAAGGCAGACGGCUCAGUAACGCGUAGUCAACCUAACCUAUGGACGGGAAUAACCUCGGGAAACUGAGUAUAAUGUCCGAUAGAACAUUAUGCCUGGAAUGGUUUAUGUUCCAAAUGAUUUAUCGCCGUAGGAUGGGACUGCGGCCUAUCAGUUUGUUGGUGAGGUAAUGGCCCACCAAGACUAUUACAGGUACGGGCUCUGAGAGGAGUGGCCCGGAGAUGGGUACUGAGACACGGACCCAGGCCCUAUGGGGCGCAGCAGGCGAGAAAACUUUGCAAUGUGCGAAAGCACGACAAGGUUAAUCCGAGUGGUUUCUGCUAAAGGAACCUUUUGUCGGUCCUAGAAACACCGAUGAAUAAGGGGUGGGCAAGUUCUGGUGU
rnacentral:rRNA from 1 species